rnacentral:lncRNA from 1 species
CCUCCUAUUCGGCUUGUAUUAAUGGAAGGAAUAGGCAAAGUGAUUCCUAGUCACUGGAAGGAACUUCAAAUAAAACCUCCCCAACUGUGAUCCAAGCAUGGGAGGGUCCAUCAACUUUGAAGCCAAACUUGACAGGAUCACGAAUAUUAUGCUGUUUCUGCAAACUGAAAGAUGAGAAAUUCCAGGUUAUGAACACUUCCUCUAUGUUUUCAAUUCAGCACUAUUCUAACCAUCUUUUGGCAGAGUCAAAGCCCCGGUGAAGAUUCUGUGACGGUUCAUUGUAUAAUUUAUGAUGAUGAAGAUUGAGUUGCAUUUUGCGGAAAAGAGAUGUUGAGAUAUCUAAGGCAUUGAGAAAUCUGUCAUGCAGACAUGCACACAGGGAGAGGGAGUACCCAAACUGAUGAGAACUUACAGGAAUUGGACCAUCUAAGCCCUUAGAAAGUGAAGUCCACUGUGUCUCAAACAAAGGAUGGCAAGUGUUCAUGACAUCAAUACUACCCAAGGCUUCAGAGUCAUUGGAUUGCAGGUGUGUGACAUUUUUCCUACCUGUUGAAUUUUUCCAAAGAGUAUGAGGGUUUUGCCAGUGUGCAUGUAUAUCAUGUGUGCCUCAUCUUUACUGUAGUCAGAUGGCAGCCUCAGAACACUUAAACUUGAAGUAAUGAGCAGUUGUGGGUCCUCAUGUAAAUACUGGCCAUUGACCUCCUUUUUGUGGAAGACCAGAAAGAGCUUUCCACUGCUGAACUAUCUCCCUGCCCUAUGUUGCUCAUUUAUGAUCCACAUUUAUAUUACUAGUAUUUUCAUCUAUCCAUUUGUAACUGUUUAAACAUACAUGUAAAUAUACAUUCUCUUCUAUAAAAUUUGUUUCCAUUUAAACUGGGGCACUUCAGGUUUCUGCUAGAUGACUACAGACUGUAUACUGUAGUGAAUGUAUAAUUCUUUGUAGGAACUUCUGUAAAGACCUCUGAAUUCUUUCUAUGUUUUUUGUUGGCUUGAUUCCAUUUUGCAGGGGAUUGAAGGUCUUAAUAUGUACCUUUGUUGUCCUGGAACUCAUUGCAUAGCUUAGGCUGGCAUCAAACUCAAUGACCUACACCUGCCUGUACCUCUGGGAUAAAAGACAUGAAUAAACACACCCAGCUUGCCUAUCAUUUUUGUACUUUGUGAUUGGUCAUACAAUGUUUCUGAUGUGUGCUUAAUAAUGUUUGCAUCUCUCCUUCCCCCUCUCUGUCAAUGGUAAUUUGUCUUGCAAGGCUGUAUCCUAUUCAGAGCAUUCAGAAGUGACACAGGUGAACCUCAUAGUUCAGUUUCCUUCUAAAAUAACUUGCUGAUUAGAUUGUAACUUCUCUGUCAGGAAAUAGUGGAGGAAGCACCAGAAGUAUAUGUAUAUAUUGUCAAGGAGGCAUAUAUUUAUUUACAGUGAUGUCAGGAUUAUGCUUUGUGUUGUACACAUGUAUGGGAUAUUUUAGGAUGCAGUGACUUAUGAUGAUGUGCGUGUGAACUUCACUGAGGAAGAGUGGGAUUUGCUGGAUCCUUCCCAGAAAAGUCUCUAUGAAGAGGUGAUGCUAGAGACAUACCAGAACAUCACUGCUAUAGGUAAGACUGAAUUUCCUCUUGCUUUUCUGAAUAAGGGACAAAUAUUUCUUUGUUAUUGAUCCUCUGUUGUUUCAAUUGAAGAGGAGGAAGAAUGAGCUGAAUAAAUCAGGUUCAUGGAAUGUUC